UUGAGUAUGGUGGGUCUCGUUUCAAACAGAAGGAGAAGUGAAGAUGUAUUCUGAUGGGAGAUAUCAUUCUGUAAAUAUGUUUUUUUAUUGGUUAAUGAAUAAAACACUGUUGGCCAAAAGGGCAGCAAGAUAGGUGGGACCAGGAUAUGAGGAGGAUUCUGGGAAAUGAAGGCAGAGAGGAAUCGUCAUGUGACCCCAGGAAGUGAUGUGGUUGGGCAGAAUCAGUAUAAGCAGGACAAACAGGAAAUGGCUCUCUCUUCUCUGCGGAGACUCUGAACAGUUGAGAUGUAAGACAACAGAGGAGUAAGAGGUCCCUGGACCCUUUCACUAGUAAGAUCCACAGGAAGUUGAAUACGUCACACACAUCUACAACCCUGAAGAUCCCAAGUCAAGAUGUGAGAUGGAGACAGAAUUUCCAGCAUUUCAAAGGCCAGUUUUCCAUGUGCAUGCAGCAGCCAAUAAAUAAGUUGUCCUCAAACCAGGAGGAAGUCUCUGCCUCUUCAAAGAUCUUUCUUACUUCUCCACAUACCCACAUAAAUGUGGAUGGAAACAAACUAAAAAUCAACAUAGACAAACCAGGAAAGAGGACGAGGAGGAGCUGGAGGAGGAGGAGGAAGAGGAGGAGGAGGAGGACGAGGAGGACGAGGAGGACGAGGAGGACGAGGAGGACGAGGACGAGGAUGAGGAGACAAAGAACCUUGAUACAAGAUUAUGAGACAUAACAUCCUCAGGGAAGCCAUGGGUUGUCCUGCUGGAGAAAAAAAUUAAAAUAAAAAC
rnacentral:lncRNA from 1 species